UACGAAGGGUGCAAGCGUUGCUCGGAAUUAUUGGGCGUAAAGCGCGCGUAGGCGGCUUGGCAAGUCGGAUGUGAAAUCCCUCGGCUCAACCAAGGAAGUGCAUCCGAAACUGCUGAGCUUGAGUACUUAAGAGGAUCGCGGAAUUCCCGGUGUAGAGGUGAAAUUCGUAGAUAUCGGGAAGAACACCCGUGGCGAAGGCGGUUCUCUGGGACGGUACUGACGCUGAGACGCGAAAGCGUGGGGAGCGAACAGG
rnacentral:rRNA from 1 species